rnacentral:rRNA from 1 species
UACGUAGGUGGCAAGCGCUAUCCGGAAUUAUUGGGCGUAAAGCGCGCGCAGGUGGUUUCUUAAGUCUGAUGUGAAAGCCCACGGCUCAACCGUGGAGGGUCAUUGGAAACUGGGAGACUUGAGUGCAGAAGAGGAAAGUGGAAUUCCAUGUGUAGCGGUGAAAUGCGUAGAGAUAUGGAGGAACACCAGUGGCGAAGGCGGCUAUCUGGACGGUUUCUGACGCUAAGACGCGAAAGCGUGGGGAGCAAACAGG